rnacentral:sRNA from 1 species
GCCUUUCCUCAAUAUUUCUUUUUAUGCACACAGAAAAACUUUAGGUGACUUUAUGCAGUAGGGUUUGCCCCUUCCUUGAAACAUUGGUGAUUUUAUCAAUCAAAUCCAGUCCUUUUGUAUGGAUUAUCAAGAACUGGGAGGAUAGCUCAGUGGACUUCCUCUCAGGGCCCGGUGAUAGAGACUUCUCAAUUAUUCCAGUGCAUUUUUUAAAUUAAAACAAUGUUAGGCCUCAUUAUCAUCCCAUCACUUCUAGAUAUAGACAUGAUGCAAUCAAAAACUGACUGGAUUUCUCUCCCUUUCUUCUCUUCUUUCUAUUUAAUAAUUUGUCUUUUAUUUUAUCCACUUUAAAAAAAAAAAAACAGCAUGUGAUUUCAUUUCUACAUUUAUGAACCGAUGUGUAGAGGGUGUGAACUUUCCAAGGGUGUAUUUCUCCUGGAAUUUGUGAAAUAUUUUAGGUGUCUAUGAAAAACGAAGCAGAUAUGGUUACAGUGAACUGUGGUCUGUUUACUGAGCACAAUGUUAUUAUGGUUUUACAAAACUUAUUUCAUUUCUGUCAAUAUUUUCUUAAAUGCUGUUUUCCAGAUAAUGGUUGACCAUGCCUCCAUUCCAAGUUCUCUUAUCUUAAAGUUUUCAGAAAAUGUUUAAUUGAAUUAUUCAUAUAUUUGAUAAGAAAGUAUUUUUGUAUAAUUGAAAAUUUUGAACUCUUUUCAUUUUAGUCCUUGUGAUAUUUUUGACAUUUAUUAAUCUAGUGCAGAGAAAUUUCAAAUUCUUUUCAAUUCGUAUUUCCUCAAUGAUAAUUGUUCAUGUACUGCAUAUUCAAAUCAUUUUGAUUACAAUAAUGUUAAUAAGUAAAAUUUUGAUAUUAUGUGAAACAGUUUUAUUUGAAAUUUCUCUGCUACUAGUCACCAUUAAUAUGAUGAAAAUGCAUUCAACUCGGUUUUUAAGAAGAGAGGUAAUAAAAGUGCUAUUGUAUUAUUUUUAAAUAUUCUAUUCUAUACAUUUUGACACUGUAUGUGUUAUAUAUAUAUACCUUCAGCCCUUCUGUUUACCUCAAUACAGUUGGAAGGCAUGCCUUAUAGAGCAUUGUACAGGUGUUGAUUGUUAAUUUGUUUCUCUGGUUUUGUGAUUAUGAGGGACCCUCUCCCGGGGGAGGGCUCUCUAUCAUCUUUAGUUGUUUCAGUGUUACUUGUCUGUUUAUCAUGAAUUAGUGUAUCCCAUCUUAGAUGACUGGAAAAAUCAGGAAUAUGACAUUAAACAUCAAAUGCAG